rnacentral:lncRNA from 1 species
UUCGAACAACUUAGCCUACAAAAUAACAAAUAACAUAAUAACUUAAUUAUUUAGUCAUGAAAACAAACAUGAAAAUAAAAAAGUCCACAUCUUCGAACAACUUAGUCUACAAAAACUAAAAAAUAAUUUAGAAUCAUGUCUAAAAAAUUAACAUAGAUUCACACGCCACCAAACUAUUCAUACAAAUGAAUACUUUAAUCUAAAAUAUGAACAAAUAAUUUAACAUAGCAAAAAAAUUAGUUUACAAAUGUGAAAAAUAACUUUAUGCGCAAAUUAAUUAUUCUUACAAGUGAACAAAAUACGUGUAGAACAUAAUAGAAACUGGAUGCUAUGAACAAAUAAGUCUAUAUUGCCGAAUAAAGAUAUACAAACCAGAAUAAAAAUAAAGAUAUACAAACCAGAAUAAAUUAUACGAGCUAUUAUAUGAACAAAUUAUAUGAACCUGGAGAAUAAAAUAACUAUACACGUCAAACAACUUACACAAAUUCAAAGAUGUAUAAAUUAUACAAACUUACGGAGCAAAUUUUACACAGUUAGAACAAUUUAUAUAAACAUGAAGAAAAAUAGUGGUGCACGUUGAACAAAUUGAACCAACUCAUAGAAUAAAAUAAUACGCAACGAAAAUAAUAGAGGAAAAUAAAUAAAGUGAAUAAUAUAAAUAUCACUAAUAAUAAUUAAAAGCAAAAUAAAUUUAAAAAAUAAAAAAUUAAUAUAAUAAUCUAAAAAGGAAUGAGAUAAAGAGAGGAAGAAAGAAAAAGAAAUGAGAAAAAAAUUGAACAUGGUGUGAAAGUAGCCUGCAUGCAUUAGAAAUUGAAAAUAAAAGGAAAAGGCAAAAGAUAGAAAAGAUGAGAAGAAAGAAGAAGAAGAGAAACAUAAGAAAAUAAAUAGUAUUACCAAAAAAUUAAUAAAAGAUAAGAAGAAAAGAAAAGGAGAAAGAAAGAUAAGAAAAUAAAUAGUAUUACAAAAAUACAAUAGAAGAUAAGAAGAAAAGAAAAGGAGAAAGAGAGAUAAGAAAAUAAAAAGUAUUCACCGUAGUUUUAAGGGUAUACGUUUUUUUUCUAUGAGUUUGUAUAAUAUGUUCGAUGUGUAUGAUUGUUUUAUUCCACGGGUUUGUAUAAUGUGUUUAACGUGUACAGGAUAUGCAACCUUGAUUAAAAAAUACGAAUAAAAAAAGUUCGUCCAAAUAUCUUUAAGUGGGAUCGUAUUGUAAAGUUAGAAAUCCAUUGGUGCAAUUAGAAUUUAAUUUUGAUGCUCGAUGUAAGAUUUAUAAUUUUUUUAAAUCUAAAUAGUUUUGCAUGUGGGAUGAUAUUAUCAGUCUUAAGGGCACAUCGUCAUAGAGAACCUUAUCCCAUAGAGAACCUAAAUUUAUGGAUUGGAUAACGUCUUUGUGUCUUGCUUAAAUGAGACAGAUUUCGGACAUAAGAGGCCGUGCUUCUCUAUGCUUUUCAGGCAUUUUGGAUUGGUCCAUGAUUGAUUUUCUAGUUCGAUUUAGGAAAAGUAAAGGUACCAACAAAGCACCCAAGCCGUAUUCUUAAGGUUGUGGUUUUCCCCCUUUAUUCCCUUUCUUAUUAAUUUAUAUUAAGAAUUUACUGAUUGUUGUGAGUUAGAGUUAUGAUUAUGUGACCAUCUAGUUUUAGUUAGAAGGAUUAUUGUCUCGAGUCAAAAUGGAACCAACAAUUAAACUAGGUUUGUAGCAAGCACUGAGCAGUAGCAUGCAUCUAAGAACAUUAAAAAGGAUCAAAACAUCGCCUAAAUUUGGUUAGUUUCUAACUCAAACAUUCCUCCCAAGUCAAGUCUCUGAAGCCUAGUUCUUCUAAAAGCGCAGAAUCAACCAGGAAUCCAUGAUGUUGAACGAGAAGCUGUGUAAGGUCGUGAUAAUUAGCUCUGGACUGAAAGAUACACACCGUCAGGGUCACGUACCAGUACCAAGACGAAGCCCCAUAUUCACAGGUCCAGACAUGACCCAUUGACCCCGGAUUGCGCCCGCGCACUUGAUCGGGCGUGCAAACCGACCGUUGAGAAGACGACCGAGACUCCGUCAGGUAGAGGCGGGAUGCCAUGCCCUCGCCGGCAGCCAAGCGAGCGGUUGGAACCUGCGCGACGGCUGGAGGUUUAUGGGGCCUCCUAUGCAUCUAUCGGAUGGUGGGUAAAGUUAUCUUUGAAGCCCAACAGAGCCCACUCCAUCUUCUUCCUCCUCCCGUCAGCUUCAUCUACCUCCCGCUGCGCGCCGCUCCCCCGCCUCGCCGGCCACCAGCUUCUCCCUCCUCUCCGGCGCUGCUCCCCCGCCCCGCUCGCCUGCUCAGUCUCCGGCGGCGGCCGCCGCCGGAUUCGCCUCCGCCAUCCCCGCCGCCACUAACCGAGCCAGACGCGGCGCCAUCUCCGCUGCCCCCGCCGUCCUCCACGCCGCCGCGCCGCGCCGCCCCCGCGCCCACCUCCCCUCCGGCGUUGCUCACCCAUCCCGCCGAACCGCCACCGCCGUCGGGCUUGCCGCCGCCGAUGACCUUCUCCUCUAUGUCCGGUGGACAUUGGAUCUCCGGCCGCAGAAACCCGAAAUCCUAAUUGCCGCCGCCUCGACCACCACCCACGGCUGGCGGCAACCUCGCCGCCGAGCCGUCCCGCCCACCUCCC